rnacentral:rRNA from 1 species
UACAGAGACUGCAAGCGUUAUUCGGAUUCACUGGGCGUAAAGGGUGCGCAGGCGGUUGGGUGUGGCAGAUGUGAAAUCCCGAGGCUUAACCUCGGAACUGCGUCUGAAACUACUCGACUAGAGUACUGGAGAGGGUAACGGAAUUCACGGGGUAGCAGUGAAAUGCGUAGAUAUCAAGAGGAACACCUGAGGCGAAGGCGGGUUGCUAGGCUGACACUGACGCUGACAGCGCGAAAGCCAGGGGAGCAAACGGG